UACGUAGGGGGCAAGCGUUAUCCGGAUUUACUGGGUGUAAAGGGAGCGUAGGUGGCAGGGCAAGUCAGAUGUGAAAACCCGGGGCUCAACUCCGGGAGUGCAUUUGAAACUGUCCAGCUGGAGUGCAGGAGAGGUAAGCGGAGUUCCUAGUGUAGCGGUGAAAUGCAUAGAUAUUAGGAGGAACACCAGUGGCGAAGGCGGCUUACUGGACUGUAACUGACACUGAGGCUCGAAAGCGUGGGGAGCAAACAGG
rnacentral:rRNA from 1 species